GGAGGAAAGUAGGGGAUCGCAAGACCUUGCGCUUUUUGAGCGGCCGAUGCCUGAUUAGCUAGUUGGUAAGGUAAUGGCUUACCAAGGCAACGAUCAGUAGCUGGUCUGAGAGGACGACCAGCCACACUGGGACUGAGACACGGCCCAGACUCCUACGGGAGGCAGCAGUGGGGAAUUUUGGACAAUGGGCGAAAGCCUGAUCCAGCCAUGCCGCGUGAGUGAAGAAGGCCUUCGGGUUGUAAAGCUCUUUCGGUCGGGAAGAAAUAGUUGUGGCUAAUAUCCACAAUGAAUGACGGUACUGACAUAAGAAGCACCGGCUAACUACGUGCCAGCAGCCGCGGUAAUACGUAGGGUGCAAGCGUUAAUCGGAAUUAUUGGGCGUAAGGGUGCGCAGGCGGUUGUAUAAGUCAGAUGUGAAAUCCCUGGGCUUAACCUAGGAAUUGCGUUUGAAACUACAAAGCUAG
rnacentral:rRNA from 1 species